rnacentral:pre_miRNA from 1 species
AGUGCAAUUUCUGGGUUACAUGGCAAGUUCAUUUUUAGUUUUAAGAGGAAUUUCCAAACUGUUUUCCAGGAUGGCUGUACCAUUUUACAUUUCCGUCAGGAAU